UACGUAGGGUGCAAGCGUUAAUCGGAAUUACUGGGCGUAAAGCGUGCGCAGGCGGUUCGUUGUGUCGGUGGUGAAAUCCCCGGGCUUAACCUGGGAAUGGCCAUGGAAACUGGCGAACUGGAGUGCGGCAGAGGGGGGUGGAAUUCCGCGUGUAGCAGUGAAAUGCGUAGAGAUGCGGAGGAACACCGAUGGCGAAGGCAGCCCCCUGGGCUAGCACUGACGCUCAGGCACGAAAGCGUGGGGAGCAAACAGG
rnacentral:rRNA from 1 species